GUGCCUUCGGGAACUCUGACACAGGUGCUGCAUGGCUGUCGUCAGCUCGUGUCGUGAGAGUGUUGGGUUAAGUCCCGUAACGAGCGCAACCCUUGUCCUUAGUUACCAGCACGUUAUGGUGGGCACUCUAAGGAGACUGCCGGUGACAAACCGGAGGAAGGUGGGGAUGACGUCAAGUCAUCAUGGCCCUUACGGCCUGGGCUACACACGUGCUACAAUGGUCGGUACAAAGGGUUGCCAAGCCGCGAGGUGGAGCUAAUCCCAUAAAACCGAUCGUAGUCCGGAUCGCAGUCUGCAACUCGACUGCGUGAAGUCGGAAUCGCUAGUAAUCGUGAAUCAGAAUGUCACGGUGAAUACGUUCCCGGGCCUU
rnacentral:rRNA from 1 species